UGAGGAAUAUUGGGCAAUGCCCGCAAGGGUGACCCAGCAACGCCGCGUGGAGGAUGAAUGUCGUAAGAUUGUAAACUCCUGUUAGAGGGGAAGAAUAGUGCCGGUUGGACCGGUAUAUGACUGUACCCUCAGAGAAAGCCCCGGCUAACUACGUGCCAGCAGCCGCGGUAAUACGUAGGGGGCAAGCGUUGUCCGGAUUUACUGGGUGUAAAGGGCGCGCAGGCAGGAUGUUAAGUCGGCGGUGAAAUUUUGCAGCUCAACUGUAAAAGUGCCUUCGAUACUGGCCUCCUUGAGUGUGGAUGAGGUAGGCGGAAUUUGUGGUGUAGCGGUGAAAUGCUUAGAUAUCACGAGGAACUCCGAUUGCGCAGGCAGCUUACUAAGCCACAACUGACGCUCAUGCACGAAGGCGUGGGGAUCAAACA
rnacentral:rRNA from 1 species